rnacentral:rRNA from 2 species
UUGAUGGAGGGUUUGAUCCUGGCUCAGGACGAACGCUGGCGGCGUGCUUAACACAUGCAAGUCGAACGGUAAGGCUCCAGCUUGCUGGGGUACACGAGUGGCGAACGGGUGAGUAACACGUGGGUGACCUGCCCUGCACUUCGGGAUAAGCCUGGGAAACUGGGUCUAAUACCGGAUAGGACCGCACCGUGAGGGUGUGGUGGAAAGUUUUUUCGGUGUGGGAUGGGCCCGCGGCCUAUCAGCUUGUUGGUGGGGUAAUGGCCUACCAAGGCGGCGACGGGUAGCCGGCCUGAGAGGGUGGACGGCCACAUUGGGACUGAGACACGGCCCAGACUCCUACGGGAGGCAGCAGUGGGGAAUAUUGCACAAUGGGCGGAAGCCUGAUGCAGCGACGCCGCGUGGGGGAUGACGGCCUUCGGGUUGUAAACUCCUUUCACCAUCGACGAAGGGUUUCUGACGGUAGAUGGAGAAGAAGCACCGGCUAACUACGUGCCAGCAGCCGCGGUAAUACGUAGGGUGCGAGCGUUGUCCGGAAUUACUGGGCGUAAAGAGCUCGUAGGUGGUUUGUCGCGUCGUCUGUGAAAUUCCGGGGCUUAACUCCGGGCGUGCAGGCGAUACGGGCAUAACUUGAGUACUGUAGGGGAGACUGGAAUUCCUGGUGUAGCGGUGAAAUGCGCAGAUAUCAGGAGGAACACCGGUGGCGAAGGCGGGUCUCUGGGCAGUAACUGACGCUGAGGAGCGAAAGCAUGGGGAGCGAACAGGAUUAGAUACCCUGGUAGUCCAUGCCGUAAACGGUGGGCGCUAGGUGUGGGUUUCCUUCCACGGGAUCCGUGCCGUAGCUAACGCAUUAAGCGCCCCGCCUGGGGAGUACGGCCGCAAGGCUAAAACUCAAAGGAAUUGACGGGGGCCCGCACAAGCGGCGGAGCAUGUGGAUUAAUUCGAUGCAACGCGAAGAACCUUACCUGGGCUUGACAUAUACAGGAUCGCGCCAGAGAUGGUGUUUCCCUUGUGGCUUGUAUACAGGUGGUGCAUGGUUGUCGUCAGCUCGUGUCGUGAGAUGUUGGGUUAAGUCCCGCAACGAGCGCAACCCUUGUCUUAUGUUGCCAGCACGUUGUGGUGGGGACUCGUAAGAAACUGCCGGGGUUAACUCGGAGGAAGGUGGGGAUGACGUCAAAUCAUCAUGCCCCUUAUGUCCAGGGCUUCACACAUGCUACAAUGGUCGGUACAGUGGGUUGCCAGUCCGUGAGGGCGAGCUAAUCCCGCAAAGCCGGUCUCAGUUCGGAUCGGGGUCUGCAACUCGACCCCGUGAAGUCGGAGUCGCUAGUAAUCGCAGAUCAGCAACGCUGCGGUGAAUACGUUCCCGGGCCUUGUACACACCGCCCGUCACGUCAUGAAAGUCGGUAACACCCGAAGCCAGUGGCCUAACACAUUUUGUGGGGGAGCUGUCGAAGGUGGGAUUGGCGAUUGGGACGAAGUCGUAACAAGGUAGCCGUACCGGAAGGUGCGGCUGGAUCACCUCCUUU